rnacentral:rRNA from 1 species
CACGUAGGGUGCGAGCGUUGUCCGGAAUUAUUGGGCGUAAAGAGCUCGUAGGCGGUGUGUCGCGUCGGCCCGUGAAAACCUGCAGCUUAACUGUGGGCUUGCGGUCGAUACGGGCAUCACUGGAGUUCGGCAGGGGAGACUGGAAUUCCUGGUGUAGCGGUGAAAUGCGCAGAUAUCAGGAGGAACACCGGUGGCGAAGGCGGGUCUCUGGGCCGAUACUGACGCUGAGGAGCGAAAGCGUGGGGAGCGAACAGG